rnacentral:lncRNA from 1 species
GUUACAUAUAUGUGUUACUUUCUCCUGUCCCUGUUCGGUCCCCAUGUAACUACUCCAAGUAAGUAUAUCUGGGUUAUAUUUAUCAUGCGGAUUGCUCACUUACACGCUAUAACGAUGUUCUGUUAUAUUUGAGAAUCAACUUGGUACACUUUCUUUCGUUAUUUAGAAGAGGACAAUGGUAAUAGGUAAUGAACGUCUGACGUUGUUGUAAAAGUAGAACGAGAAUCAAAUUAAAAAUGAUAUUUAUGAUCGAUCGAUCGAUCAUUCGUCUGAAAUGUAUAACGUGUUACGUUCAAAGAACACAAAAAUUAAAUAUGUAUAAUAUAUUAGAGGAACUCGAAAGUUUUACAUUACAUUAAAACAUGAUUUUGAACUACACGAUGAAUAGAUAAAUUAUAAACAAAUAUUAACAUGCGUAUAAAUGACAUUACAUUCCCUAAUAUAUAAUAAAAGAAUAAUUAGGUUUGUGAAGAAAAGAUCUGAUUAAAGUGCAACGAAUUAGUACAAAAGAUUGAACCUAAGUGUUAUUAAAAAACGAUUUUGAAGUACACGAUGAAUAGAUAAAUGAUAAACAAAUAUUGACAUGCGUAUAAAUGACAUUACAUUCCCUAAUAUAAAUAUAAUAAAAGAAUAAUUAGGUUUGUGAAGAAAAGAUCUUAUUAGAGUGCAACGAAUUGAUACAAAAGAUCGAACCUAAGUGUUAUUCAAGAUGAUUCGAUAAAGAUGUCGUCGUCUUUCAAUAGAAACGAUAGACUUCUAACGCGUAUGAGAUUCAAAAGGAUUCCUCUUGUGGAAAAACGAUGAAA